GGGGGCAUAGCUCAGCUGGGAGAGCAGCAGACUGAAGUAUUUGUGAAAAGGAUCUUAUUCUGAAGGUCCCGCGUUCGAUCCGCGGUGCCCCCA